AUGUUUAGAUAUGGCGACGAAUUGACGGCAUCAGAAACCCUAGCUAGUGAUUGCCUCUUGACGCUGCCGGUUUACGUCGAUUGGAAAAAGGCAGCCGAAUCUAAUGCGACCAUAUUCCGUAAAGGGUAUUCGACUGAGAGCCAAAAAGGCCCAUUAUUGGUAGAGAAACUUGAUUACCUGCAGUCGAAACUGUUGCAGAAUAUUUCAUCAGUCUUUCCAAACCCUUGGGGAAAUUGGGGAAGUGGACCAAUGAGCCAGGCAUUGAAAAAAUCAAUAGGGAGCCCGGGAUUUCAGAUCUGGAUUGACAAACUGAAGCCCUGGCUGCAAGAGCAAAACUUAUGCAAAGAAUCACUGUUGUUGAUAGAAAACUACUCUUGGGACAGGCUUAUGCCAGACCAAUUACCAGAUGCAGAUCUUCCUAUUUGGAUUGCUGCACAAAGGGCAGUCUCUCGUUAUGAAGGAUUUCUGUCACCUGUCGGCCCUCGCGGCAGACUCCUAAGGAGAGUGCUUACAUGGACAGGAUUAAUUCCAUCUUUGCCAGAAGCAACACUGAAAUCUGAUAUUGAAACAAAACAAUCUGAAGGCUAUGUGAGGCCAAAUUUUCUGCCUAGAAUUACCCUUGCAAACAUAUGGGAGCCAGCGAGCAGAGAAGCUUGUGACAACAAUAUUUGGGAGAUAAUAAAAGCUUCUUUUGACAUUUUAUUUGCCAAGUCUACUCUCCAGGAACCAGCAUUCGAAGAACUGAUCAUACUUUAUUCCGAGGAUUCUGCUCAAAGUAAUGAGAAGGAGAGUUCUGAGAUGCAGAUGCUGCCGCCGUAG
rnacentral:rRNA from 1 species